rnacentral:rRNA from 1 species
AGUGAACGCUGGCGGUAGGCCUAACACAUGCAAGUCGAACGGCGGCACAGUAAGAGCUUGCUCUUACGGGUGGCGAGUGGCGGACGGGUGAGGAAUACAUCGGAAUCUACUUUUUCGUGGGGGAUAACGUAGGGAAACUUACGCUAAUACCGCAUACGACCUACGGGUGAAAGCAGGGGAUCUUCGGACCUUGCGCGAUUGAAUGCGCCGAUGUCGGAUUAGCUAGUUGGCGGGGUAAAGGCCCACCAAGGCGACGAUCCGUAGCUGGUCUGAGAGGAUGAUCAGCCACACUGGAACUGAGACACGGUCCAGACUCCUACGGGAGGCAGCAGUGGGGAAUAUGGGACAGUGGGCGCAAGCCUGAUCCAGCCAUACCGCGUGGGUGAAGAAGGCCUUCGGGUUGUAAAGCCCUUUUGUUGGGAAAGAAAAGCAGCAGGUUAAUACCCCGCUGUUCUGACGGUACCCAAAGAAUAAGCACCGGCUAACUUCGU